GCUAUACAAUGACAUACCAUGAUGACGACUUUAUUACAGGCUAUGUUUACUGUGUCCCCCUUUUACCUUUUAUCCCCAUCUCCCAUGCCCCUGCUGGGAUUCCUAGAGGGAACAUAGCCUCAAUUUAAAAAGUAAGGUCCUAAAACUGAAAUGAGCACCUAUUUUUAUUAUUUAACACCUUUUCUUUUUUUUCUUUUUUUUUGGCGUAAAAGCAAUGUUUUCUUUUUGUUUUCAGGAGUCAAACCUGAGUCUCAACUCUGGUUUGGUCCUUAUGGCUCAGUUCCAAUUACGUAUGUGCAUGAAGGUAAGCUAACUGUGAAUCCUUUCAUUCCUAUAAGAACCUCUGUUCCUACUUUGGUCCUGAGUCUGUAUCAAGCACAUCCAAAGACUUAAGCUUUUUCAACGAGCCCUUGUGAAAGUGUGCGAGCUGGUGACUACCUGACUGGCUUUUUCCU